CGCACAUUGCACCUUUUGGUAUUCCGAAAGGUAUGCCUGUUCGAGCGUCGUUUAUAAUUAAAUAUUUAUUUUAUUAAUAAAGUAAAUGUCUUGGAUCUUGUCUUUUGGUAAAACAGAAAACAUAUCCCAAAAGAAUUGAUAGCGAUCUGGAAUAAGAUUUAUAUUGAAACGCAUUAAAAACUUUCGUUUACAAACAAAAUCUAUAUCCUGGCAGCCAAAACAAAAAUAAAUAUUUAUUUAUUUAAACUCUUUAAAAAUCGACCUCGGAUCAAGCAAGAAUACCCGCUGAACUUAA
rnacentral:misc_RNA from 1 species